AUAUCCUGUGGGUAUGUUCUCCACGCUGCAAACUCGCUCUUUAUGCCUCUUUGUUUGGGAGGCGUGUUGUUGUGUUCUGAUGUGGACCGACGGAUUCACAUUAAACUUCUAGAACAGAUCAUGACAGUGUUAAAAACAGCCUCAUCUGUGACCACACGCGUGUUGAUUGGCCAUGAAUACCCCAUGCAAGCUGAACCCAGAGAAGCGGCAUCCCCUCCACUGUGUAGAUGCACAGCGAGGGCCAGGAUGUCACACGGUAACAGUAGCAGCUGUCUGUUUCCUCCGCCGCUAACAAGGCCCUCUACACCCUGUCGUUCUGUCUGCUUUUGUUGUUGGUUUUCCCGCCGAGACCAACCCUCCUCUGUCUCUCUCACCCGCUAUCUUCCGGAGGCAUCAGUGUUCAUGGCUUUCUCAUUUUGUCAGAUCUUGUUGGGUCUCAAAACAGGAAAUUUGUUUUGCAAAUGGCAGACUUAUUAAAGGGGAAAUCGGGUUUGAUUCUGCUUGAGUUGACUGGCAAAAUGAUGACUAAAGAAGAACCGGAGACAGACUGUGAGAAUGUCACGUCGGGCCUGAAUUAGGUUUGGGUGAAACCGGCCGCUUUGAAGGUGCGUUCCUGUCUGAUCUUGAUGAUGGAUGAAAUGUAUCGUAGGAAGAAAACGAGAGAAACUCUCGGAAACUCUCUGUGAGUCUUUGCCAUCACGGCAUCAGAGAGACAUUGAUCAAAGUCAGCGGUUGUUCAGGUGAGAUCAGCAGAGACUCCAGGUCUUGUGGCCUAAUGCUUAAAAAAUGAGACGAAUGCCCAAAAGGUUGUCAAACAAACCAUCAAAGGUUGUCAUACAAAGACGGUUCAUACUGGUUAGCUCCAAUAAAGACUAAAAAACACCAUGAAAGCCUUAUAGA
ensembl:lncRNA